AUAAACGCAGCUUCGCAUAGAGCCCCUCUCCUAGCCCCUCCACGGCGUGAGGCCGGGGGUCGCGGGGAAAAGAGAAACACAAGGGGGGAGGAGAGGGAGAGGAGGGAACGCGCUACGCCCGCUAGAAGAAGCAACCGCCGUCUUAUCACAGCCCCCCGAGACCGUUACAUAACGGCAGCAAGGAGCGCAGCGCUGCGCAACCCGCUGCGGUGCGGGGAGACUCCGCUCCCACCGGGGCACGGUACACACACACAACGAAAAGCCUCCCCGUAGGGCUGCACUGACCAAAUGUAAUCAGCCAGCGCGCCGGCAAGGGGCGAGAGGACAAGAAACACCAGUGAAGCGUGACGGUUCCAAAAAAAAAACAAAACAAAAAACAAAACAAAAAAAAAAAGGGAAAAAGAAACAUAAAAGAGGGACUUAGGAAGCUGACCCUGCCUCAGUCCACUUACCACCGGCUCACCGAGGGAGCGACAGCUCCUGCCAGCCCAACCUGACUCUCGCCCCGACUCUGACGCGACCAGCAGCCAACCCCGAGCUGGCGCGGCGGCUCAGCCAGGCUCCUGCCCUCCCGGCAGCGGCAUUGGCGAGCGCCCGGCACCGCCUACUCGCCCUCCUCUGCCGUUCAUCCCCAUAGGACAGACGAGCUGUCCAGCUGGCGACCGCUCCCGCCUCCCACGGAGCGUGAGGUCUAAUGUCAUAUUUUGCCACCUGUGCUCAUUCUUCAGACGUAUUUUAAAAGCUGAACCCUACUCCUCAGUUAAGCCUUCUUAUAUAUUGCAAACAAAAGCCAGCCCAUUAGAAAAUACAAUGGAAACAGCCAACUAGAAUAAAAACCAUAGCAAGCAAAAUCACAGAGUGGCAAUUUGUAAACAGAAUCUGCGAUGCUCUUGGUUAGUUGAAGAAUUCCAGCAAAGGAAUAAUGGACCUUUUAGUGAAGGCAGUGGCAGACUGAAUUGUACUUGUUUUAAGAUUAAUCUGCUGUUUGAAAACUACGGGCAUGAUUUCAGAAAAGAAAAACUAAAAUAAUAUGGAAUGCCUUGCAUGCACUGCAAUGAUCCACUGUAACAACAAAGAAGUGUUUGUUCAUGUGUAAAAAUAAAGGUUCAGUUAAGAUAAAAUUUUAAAAAUUAUUUUUCUGGUCAAUAGUGAAUCCCUUUUGCUAUCCGGUGGAAGAAAAGAUCGUUCUUUUCACACUGAAAGGCACAGACAUACUCUCUCAAAUUUUGCUGAAGCUGACCAAGAUAUCUUUGGUUCCAGGUUAGAUUAGACUUACACCACUGUUUCACUACUUCACCAGAAUGUAAGAAUGGAAUGUCUCUAACAGUUUAUUUCAUACUCUUACAUGUCAAAGUGUUGCUAAAGGUAGGUUAGUUUGUGUCAGACAAAGAGUGGAAAGAUCUGAGACAUAAAAAAGUGCUCUGCUUCUUCUCUCUAAAUACUGAAAAGUCCUGUCAUGAAAAAGAGCAGAUAGAUAUAACGAAGAGACUGAAUUUGGCAUUAAACUACCCCCAUCGUGAACAACUAAAGACGUUCAAAGCCUCAAGUAUGAGGAAAAGCUCAGAGAUGUGGAACCAUUCUGCCUAGAGGAGAGAAGGCUCAGGAAGAAUUUUAUUGAUGUCUGUACCUGAAAGGAGGGAGCAAAGAAGCCAGGAUCUUUUCAGUUGUGCCUGGGGGAGUGGCCAAGAUGACUUGCAGAGGAUCUGCCAUACAAGUGAUGUCUAAUGAACAGCUAUACAUGGUUUGCAUUUUGCAUUACUAGUGCCCAGCGUGGGAUUGGGCUUUUCCUAGAAUAGUCUCAGAUAUACAGGUAAGUGAUCACUAAAAUCACAUCAACUAAAUUACCCAGAGCAAACAGUUUGACAGCUUUGGGCUUUUAGGUUGGAUACAAAGCCCAUUUAUGAGAAGAACAAUAACUAGUGUUCUGAAUACAUCAGAUAUGUGCAAAGGGAUAAUAUUUGAUGAGAUGUAAAAGAAACAAACAAACAAAAAAGAACCCCUCCAUUACUAAAUUACCAAGCCAAAACAAAAUGUUUCAACAUUGGAAACUUAUUUGAUAUGCUCUCCAGCUCUUUUAUUACAGCAGCACCACAGAACAGUUUUCUACAUAAUAAAGCACUGUUAUCCAUGGCCACCACUCUGAUAAAACAUUUGUGUGCUUUUUCUGAUGGACAGAAGAAAAGGUAGGCUAUACUGGUUGGUGCAGAUCCAUAUUAGAAUCAUAGAAAGUUUGGUAUUAGAAGGGAGUUUAAGAUCAUCUAGUUCCAACACCACUGCCACGAGAGGGAACGACUUCCACUAGACCAGGUUGCUCAAAGCCCCACCCAACCUGGCCAUUAACACUUCCAGAGAUGGGACAUUCAGAACUUUUCUGGGAAGCAAGUUCCAUUGCCUCAUCGCCCCUGAAGAAUUUUCUCUUAACAUUUUAUAUUAAUCUAUCUGUUUUUUUUUUAAUUAUUAUUAUUUUUUAAAGUUAUUACCCUUUGUCCUUUAAUUUCUUGAUACAAAUUUCCUCUCCAGUUGUCUUGUAGAUCCCCAUUAGGUAAGAGAAGGUGGUUAUAAGAUCCCCCUAGAGAAGAGAGCUUUAUGUUCUCAAGGCUGAACAACCCCAACUAUCUCAGCCUAUUGUCAUAGGAGAGGUGCUCCAACCAUCUAAUCAUAAUCAUGGCCCUCCUCUGGAUUCACUCCAGUAGAUGCAUGUAUUUCUUAUGCUGGUGGCCCGAAAGCCGAACAGAGUAUUCCAGGCAGGGUCUCAUGUGAGGAUGUAGAAGGGGAAAAUAUCUCCCUUGACCUACUGGUCACAUUUAUUUUGAUGCAGUCCAAGAUAUGCUUGGCUGAUUUUCUCCUACAGUGGGCAGUAUUUCACUAUUCCAGUUCCUGCCUUUGAUUUCUGUGACUUAGUAUGCCCAAAUUUCUUGAUACCAUCAAACCAGACAGUGGUUCUUUUGGGUUAAAAUUCAGCUCUGCAACACUGGUCAUUUACAUUUCAAAUUUAUUCUCAUAUUGAAAUAUGGUUAUAUUCCUCAUAUAGUGAGUGAAUGCUGAGUUAAUGUUUGAAGCUCAUUUGCAGGCAUUUUAUGUUUAUCUAAAAGAGGAGAGUGAUUAUUUACUGAUAGUAGUGAAAGAUGGAUCCUGCACCUGUUCAUUAAAAAGCCUUCAAGUCACUGAUGCAAUGGGGACCAUACUGUUCAGUCCUUCAUAUCUAGGUCACACUAUGGCUCCAGUUUUAAAUUUUCAAAUUGUUUAGUUCCAUAAGCAAAUUAAAUAGAGAUAUGAAUAAGGUUCAGUAGCUCUCUCUAAUUCAAAUAUGUCUCAUGUAUGUCAGAUUCACAACUACAAAGUUUAUCAAGUUUUGCGCUAGCUGAAUAAACCAACUACCUGAAGAAAGUCGCUUCCAGAAAAGAAAGCAGGUGACCAGUUUCAUCUUCAUUUUUCAUUUCUGCUCUCAUGCUUAGGCAUAAACAGAAAAAGUAUAGCCAAGACAUAAAAGACAAAUGAUUCUUAAGAGCCAUUUCCAGACCACUAACUAUUCACAUCAAAGCAAGAAUGACCCUGAGAUUGCUUGAUCACAAAUCUGGAAUACUGGGCCAAUAUACAUUAUGGAGCCUAGAACAGAGGAGCCAUGUCAAGGCUGAGGAAAGCUGUCAUAAUCUCCUUUGUAAGACAGGUUAUUUAGAUGCAGGUAAUUUAGAAGGCUAAUUUAUUAAUGAAAAUUAUUUAUCUUAAUGCCAAUGCAUUAAUGCAGUGAAAAAUUUAGAACACUCUACACUAAAGAUUUAAAAAAGAAAUUAAAUAUCUUAUCUAGCUUAUUUCAAAAAGGACUACUAAAUGUGUAUUUCUCAGCUUUAUAAAAAUUGCAUGCUUGGUGAUUCAAGAUUACAAGUAGUGUGCAUGUUACUACACUGAGUGAUUGUAAAAAGCUAGUGGAUUAACAAACUACUGACAGUAAGAUUUCUUAAUGCAUUUAUUGCCCUUUGAGUUAUUCUGGUCCUGACUGUUGGCAGAAAAACAAAGAUCAGUUUGUAGAAUUCAGCAGACGUCUAUCUUAGAACAGAGCCAACAGCUAGACUGAUGAAGUCAUGAGAGACUUGACUCAGAUCAUAAGUAAACAAGGUUUACUGU
rnacentral:lncRNA from 1 species